GAUGAACGCUAGCGGCGUGCCUAACACAUGCAAGUCGAACGUGAGAGGGUACUUGUAUCCUUGAAAGUGGCGGACGGGUGAGUAAGACGUAGGUGACCUGCCUCGAAGUGGGGGAUAACCAUUGGAAACGAUGGCUAAUACCGCAUAAGCUGGUGACGAUGGGAAUUGUUAUCAGGAAAGCUUUAGUGCUUUGAGAGGGGCCUACGGCCGAUUAGCUAGUUGGUGAGGUAAAGGCUCACCAAGGCGAUGAUCAGUAGCCGGCCUGAGAGGGCGGACGGCCACACUGGGACUGAGACACGGCCCAGACUCCUACGGGAGGCAGCAGUGGGGAAUUGUUCGCAAUGGGCGCAAGCCUGACGACGCAACGCCGCGUGGAGGAUGAAGGUCUUCGGAUUGUAAACUCCUGUUGAUCGGGACGAAAAGCUUCGACCUAACACGUCGGAGACUGACGGUACCGGUUGAGGAAGCCACGGCUAACUCUGUGCCAGCAGCCGCGG
rnacentral:rRNA from 1 species